UUGGAGACUAAGAAAAUAGAGUCCUUGAAGUCAAGCUGACUCUGCUUUUAGCCUCCUAAAUGAAAAGCUAGAUAGAACAGGUUUUAUUUGUAAAAUAAAUUCAAGUCCUACUUACCAACGGUG
rnacentral:snoRNA from 1 species